rnacentral:rRNA from 1 species
UACGGAGGGUGCAAGCGUUAUCCGGAUUUACUGGGUUUAAAGGGUGCGUAGGUGGGUCUGUAAGUCAGUGGUGAAAUCUCCGGGCUUAACCCGGAAACUGCCAUUGAUACUAUAGAUCUUGAAUAUCCUGGAGGUGAGCGGAAUAUGUCAUGUAGCGGUGAAAUGCUUAGAUAUGACAUAGAACACCAAUUGCGAAGGCAGCUGGCUACGCGGAUAUUGACACUGAUGCACGAAAGCGUGGGGAUCAAACAGG